rnacentral:rRNA from 1 species
AAAAGAAACCAACAGGGAUUGCCCCAGUAACGGCGAGUGAAGCGGCAAGAGCUCAAAUUUGAAAGCUGGCUCCUUCGGGGUCCGCAUUGUAAUUUGUAGAGGAUGCUUCGGGAGCGGUCCCCAUCUAAGUGCCCUGGAACGGGACGUCAUAGAGGGUGAGAAUCCCGUAUGGGAUGGGGUGCCGCGCCCGUGUGAAGCUCCUUCGACGAGUCGAGUUGUUUGGGAAUGCAGCUCUAAAUGGGUGGUAAAUUUCAUCUAAAGCUAAAUAUUGGCCGGAGACCGAUAGCGCACAAGUAGAGUGAUCGAAAGAUGAAAAGCACUUUGAAAAGAGAGUUAAAAAGCACGUGAAAUUGUUGAAAGGGAAGCGCUUGCGACCAGACUCGCUCGCGGGGUUCAGCCGGCAUUCGUGCCGGUGUACUUCCCCGCGGGCGGGCCAGCGUCGGUUUGGGCGGUCGGUCAAAGGCCCUCGGAAGGUAACGCCCCUAGGGGCGUCUUAUAGCCGAGGGUGCAAUGCGACCUGCCUAGACCGAGGAACGCGCUUCGGCUCG